rnacentral:rRNA from 1 species
GGAGGCAGCAGCUAAGCAAUCUUCCGCAAUGGACGAAAGUCUGACGGAGCGACGCCGCGUGGGUGAAGAAGGCCGGAAGGUUGUAAAGCCCUUUUCUUGUUGAGGAAUAAGCACAGGAGGGAAUGCCUGUGCGAUGACGGUAGGCGAGGAAUAAGUCCCGGCCAAUUACGUGCCAGCAGCCGCGGUAACACGUAUGGGACGAGCGUUGUUCGGAAUCAUUGGGCGUAAAGGGCGCGUAGGCGGCGAGGUAAGCCUGGUGUGAAAGACCGCAGCUUAACUGCGGGAGCGCGCUGGGAACUGCUUUGCUUGAGUUCAGGAGGGGGAGCUGGAAUUCCAGGUGUAGGGGUGAAAUCUGUAGAUAUCUGGAAGAACACCGGCGGCGAAGGCGAGCUCCUGGCCAUGAACUGACGCUGAGGCGCGAAAGCGUGGGGAGCGAACAGGAUUAGAUACCCUGGUAGUCCACGCUGUAAACGAUGUGCACUAGGUGUUGGGCCACGAAGGUUCAGUGCCGGAGUUAACGCGUUAAGUGCACCGCCUGGGGAGUAUGCUCGCAAGGGUGAAACUCAAAGGAAUUGACGGGGGCCCGCACAAGCGGUGGAGCAUGUGGUUUAAUUCGAUGAUACGCGAGGAACCUUACCAGGGUUUGACAUAUGCCGGAAUGUGCAGGAGACUGCGCAGCCCUUCGGGGCCGGUAUACAGGUGCUGCAUGGCCGUCGUCAGCUCGUGCCGUGAGGUGUUGGGUUAAGUCCCGCAACGAGCGCAACCCCUACCGUCUGUUGCCAGCAUUUAGUUGGGGACUCAGGCGGAACUGCCGGUGACAAACCGGAGGAAGGUGGGGACGACGUCAGGUCAUCAUGGCCCUUAUAUCCUGGGCUACACACGUGCUACAAUGGCCGGUACAGAGCGAAGCAACACCGCGAGGUAGAGCAAAUCGUAGAAAGCCGGUCUCAGUUCGGAUUGGAGUCUGAAACCCGACUCCAUGAAGUUGGAAUCGCUAGUAAUCGCGCAUCAGCAUGGCGCGGUGAUACGUUCCCGGGCCUUGUACACACCGCCCGUCACACCACCCGAGUUGGGGGUACCCGAAGUCGUUUGCCUAACCUGCAAAGGGGGGCGGCGCCGAAGUAUGCCUGUAAGGGGG